UAUCCAUUCAUUUCACUCAUGGUGUGUUAACUGAAUAGAACAAGCUUUCCCGUACUCCACUGAAAACCAACCCCAACUACUAUAUGAAAAGUACUAUAUGAAUCCUAGAGGAAGCUACAGAGAGAACUGAUGUCACCUCUCAGCCUCCUUUUCUCUGGACUGGACAACCCAAGUUGUGAGGACAGCCUCUCCUCACAAGACAUGCCUUUCUUUUAUCAGCUUGUUACCUCCUCUGGACACUUUUAAGUUCCUUAAUAUCCUCUUUAUAUUGGGAAGUCCAGAACUGUACACAGUAUUCAAGCUGUUUGCGUUCUGCACAGAUGAAGCAUUAAUCUUCUGGAAUAAAAAAAUAUGAUUGUGUUUGUGGUGUGACUCACAGUUUCUGAACCAUUGAGGCCACAGGUACUGUAUUACCCCUCUACAUUUCAUUUAUUCACAUGUAUUGUAAUUCUCAGUGUAGGUUUAGAGAAACAAACAAACAAACAAAAAGCACUUUGAUUCUGCAAGAACCUUCAUAUUGGUAUUAUUGGAUUUGUCUGCUGUGGAACAGGAUCUCAAGGCCUUUAUGAACAGCUUUCAGUAUCUUCUUCCCAGUUCAAAUCAACCCCUAUAAAAUACAUA